rnacentral:rRNA from 1 species
UACGAAGGGUGCAAACGUUGCUCGGAAUUAUUGGGCGUAAAGCGCACGUAGGCGGCUUAGCAAGUUGGAUGUGAAAGCCCUCGGCUUAACCAAGGAAGUGCAUCCAAAACUGCUGAGCUUGAGUAGUUAAGAGGAUCGCGGAAUUCCCGGUGUAGAGGUGAAAUUCGUAGAUAUCGGGAGGAACACCAGUGGCGAAGGCGGCGAUCUGGGAACAUACUGACGCUGAGGUGCGAAAGCGUGGGGGCAAACAGG